rnacentral:rRNA from 1 species
GAUGAACGCUGGCGGCGUGCCUAAUACAUGCAAGUCGAGCGAACGGACGAGAAGCUUGCUUUUCUGAUGUUAGCGGCGGACGGGUGAGUAACACGUGGAUAACCUACCUAUAAGACUGGGAUAACUUCGGGAAACCGGAGCUAAUACCGGAUAAUAUUUUGAACCGCAUGGUUCAAAAGUGAAAGACGGUCUUGCUGUCACUUAUAGAUGGAUCCGCGCUGCAUUAGCUAGUUGGUAAGGUAACGGCUUACCAAGGCAACGAUGCAUAGCCGACCUGAGAGGGUGAUCGGCCACACUGGAACUGAGACACGGUCCAGACUCCUACGGGAGGCAGCAGUAGGGAAUCUUCCGCAAUGGGCGAAAGCCUGACGGAGCAACGCCGCGUGAGUGAUGAAGGUCUUCGGAUCGUAAAACUCUGUUAUUAGGGAAGAACAUAUGUGUAAGUAACUGUGCACAUCUUGACGGUACCUAAUCAGAAAGCCACGGCUAACUACGUGCCAGCAGCCGCGGUAAUACGUAGGUGGCAAGCGUUAUCCGGAAUUAUUGGGCGUAAAGCGCGCGUAGGCGGUUUUUUAAGUCUGAUGUGAAAGCCCACGGCUCAACCGUGGAGGGUCAUUGGAAACUGGAAAACUUGAGUGCAGAAGAGGAAAGUGGAAUUCCAUGUGUAGCGGUGAAAUGCGCAGAGAUAUGGAGGAACACCAGUGGCGAAGGCGACUUUCUGGUCUGUAACUGACGCUGAUGUGCGAAAGCGUGGGGAUCAAACAGGAUUAGAUACCCUGGUAGUCCACGCCGUAAACGAUGAGUGCUAGGUGUUAGGGGGUUUCCGCCCCUUAGUGCUGCAGCUAACGCAUUAAGCACUCCGCCUGGGGAGUACGACCGCAAGGUUGAAACUCAAAGGAAUUGACGGGGACCCGCACAAGCGGUGGAGCAUGUGGUUUAAUUCGAAGCAACGCGAAGAACCUUACCAAAUCUUGACAUCCUUUGACAACUCUAGAGAUAGAGCCUUCCCCUUCGGGGGACAAAGUGACAGGUGGUGCAUGGUUGUCGUCAGCUCGUGUCGUGAGAUGUUGGGUUAAGUCCCGCAACGAGCGCAACCCUUAAGCUUAGUUGCCAUCAUUAAGUUGGGCACUCUAAGUUGACUGCCGGUGACAAACCGGAGGAAGGUGGGGAUGACGUCAAAUCAUCAUGCCCCUUAUGAUUUGGGCUACACACGUGCUACAAUGGACAAUACAAAGGGCAGCGAAACCGCGAGGUCAAGCAAAUCCCAUAAAGUUGUUCUCAGUUCGGAUUGUAGUCUGCAACUCGACUACAUGAAGCUGGAAUCGCUAGUAAUCGUAGAUCAGCAUGCUACGGUGAAUACGUUCCCGGGUCU